rnacentral:lncRNA from 1 species
AAGAACCGCGUUUUCCAUGUUCCUUUUUCGCAUGAUAUAUCUUCUUAAAUUUUAUAUUAUACUUUUUCGAUCUCAUAAAAAAUAUCUCAUUUACAUUUUUUAUUUGUCUUAAAAUAAAUAUUCUUUUAGAAUAUCAAUACAACAUUUAUUAUUUUUUCUUAUUACUAUACUCUUAUUUUUUAACUUUCACUCUUUUCAACAACUGAAUUAACUAUAAUAAAUAAGAGUAUUUUAGUAAAUGAUACUAAUUUUAUCAUUAAAAUUA